rnacentral:tRNA from 1 species
GUGGAGGUAGGUUAGUUGGUCUAUACUUCGACCUUGUGGCGGUCGAGACGCGGGUUCGAAUCCCGCCCUCCGCC